AAACUUAAAGGAAUUGACGGGGCCCGCACAAGCAGCGGAGCGUGUGGUUUAAUUCGAUGAUACACGAAGAACCUUACCCAGGCUUGACAUGUUGGUGGUAGGGAUCCGAAAGGUGACCGACCCUUCGGGGAGCCUUCACAGGUGCUGCAUGGCUGUCGUCAGCUCGUGUCGUGAGAUGUCCGGUUAAGUCCGGUAACGAGCGCAACCCUCGCUGUGUGUUAUAUGUGUCACACGGGACUGCCGGUAUCAAGCCGGAGGAAGUGGGGAUGACGUCAAGUCAGCAUGGCCUUUAUGUCUGGGGCUACACACACGCUACAAUGGCCAGUACAAUAGGUCGCAAGACCGCGAGGUGGAGCCAAUCCUUAAAGCUGGCCUCAGUUCGGAUUGCAGGCUGCAACUCGCCUGCACGAAGUUGGAGUUGCUAGUAAACGCAGGUCAGCCAUACUGCGUUGAAUACGUUCCCGGGGCUU
rnacentral:rRNA from 1 species